UGAUUUAGUAUCCAAGUUCCCGUGGUUAACCCAUGCUACUUCUGAUCAAUCUUCCAGCUCUCAACUCUCCCAGCCAUGUGAACGCGGCCUAAUGGCGCUGUGUGCCCUCGGUCUGGUGACGGGAGACUCGGCGCUAGCAGGGGCUGCACUCGGGGAACUGAUGAAGCUUGGAGGAGAAGGUAAUAAAGACCUGCAUUACGAGAUCUGCUAUCUUUUCUCAAGAUUCUACACUCUUCAGGGUGACCCUCGCCUCGGUCUUCGUCAUAUUGUCAAGGCAGUCCAUCGG